rnacentral:rRNA from 1 species
UACGUAGGAGGCAAGCGUUGUCCGGAAUUACUGGGCGUAAAGCGCGUGUAGGUGGUGGGACAAGUCUGCUGUGAAAGCGCCUGGCUUAACCGGGCGAGGUCGGCGGAAACUGCCUCACUGGAGGACGGUAGAGGGGGGUGGAAUUCCCGGUGUAGUGGUGAAAUGCGUAGAGAUCGGGAGGAACACCUGUGGCGAAGGCGGCCCCCUGGGCCGGCCCUGACACUGAGACGCGAAGGCGUGGGGAGCGAACAGG